GCAGUAACAUAAUCAACCAAUACAUCAGAGUAGAGUUGGAGUCAUUGGGGGGAAAUAGCAUUCGAGUCUGGGUGCUGAUCCAAACAGGAUCUCAUAAGGGGACAAGGCAAACCUCCCUCAUGGUGUGUAUCUUACACUAAACAGGGCAAUGGGGAGACUCUCUGGCCAUGACAGGUUAGUUUGUUGGGCCAUUUUCAACAUUCUAGCCUUUAAGGUGCCAUUCAUGCACUCUACCUUGCCACUACUCUG